rnacentral:rRNA from 1 species
CCCUUAGAUGUUCUGGGCCGCACGCGCGCUACACUGAUGCAUUCAACGAGUCUAAAACCUGCUCUGAUAGGGGUGGGUAAUCUUUUGAAUGUGCAUCGUGAUUGGGAUAGAUGAUUGCAAUUUUUCAUCUUCAACGAGGAAUGCCUAGUAAACGCAAGUCAUCAGCUUGCAUUGAUUACGUCCCUGCCCUUUGUACACACCGCCCGUCGCUACUACCGAUUGGACGGUUUAGCGAGGCCCUCGGAUCGGUACCAGGACUCCGUCAGGAGUGACUGGCAACCGAGAAGGCGGUCGAACUUGACCGUCUAGAGGAAGUAAAAGUCGUAACA